ACAGAGAUAGUUGGACUCCAGAGUCUUUGCACUUAACCACCUCACUGUGCUCCUCUCAGAGACCUGGGAAUGUCAGUAUUGAAGGACACCUUAACCAACUGAAGCCCAGAGAGGUAGAAUGACUUGCCCGAGGUCACACAGCAGAUCCAAAAGUGAACUCAUUUCUCAACAUUCAUCCAUGAUCAACAUUAAUUAAGCACUACCAGGUGCCAGACACCAUGCCAGCCCAGGUUAAACAAAAUUUAAUGAAAGUCCCUGCCUUCGAGGUGUUUGCAGUCAGGAAGGGGAGUGGGAGAGAAGUGGGGAAUCUAUUUGAAAACCAGUAAGUGCAGUAAAGUGUUGGAGUCUCCACUGUAGACGCAUGUACAGGUCUUGUGGUUCUGGCCAUCUUCUCGAAGCAGCAGCGGCAGGAGUGCUUAUUUUGGGCACGUCCCAGAAGAACAGAAGUCAUCUCCUGGGGCAAGAUGAGGCGGGGCUACCCACACCCAUUCGGGUCUUCCUAGCUUUCGCAGGGCAACGAAGGGGUUGGUUAGUGUCCUGUCCUGUUUGAGGGGAACUGGACAGAAAAGGCUCAAGUGUCUCGGGCCUGCCUUUAGUCAGCCUCCCCUCCCCCACCACGGACACCCCAUGACUUCCCCGAUCUAGGCACAAUGGAACCUUCCCUCAGCUCUGCUUUUGCAGCUGGGAAAUACAUGCCAGAUUCUGACCCAGAAUCUCCUGAGUCUCCCAAACAUCAGCCACUCACACUCAACCUCCAUCAUCGCGCCGUUUUGUAAAGCCAGAUGUACUAGUAUAUACUUAAUAUUUUCUUUAAAUCAAAGCUAAAUCAGUUCACUUCUUUCUUAUCCUGACCCUAAGCCGUAAUAUCCUUGAAAAUGUAGCUUUUGCGUGCUGGUUCUAAUUUUUUUGAAUUCAUAUUCAAAUAAAACAUAACUAUUAAAAUGUAAAACAUUCCUCCAUGUGCUGUCGGCCUACAGAGAACACAGGUCAAUCUCGUCCCUAUUCGAAGUUUCCCAAAGCCAGGGAGGGCAAGGAGGGCGUAGCACCCAUCAGAUGUGGCUGAUUUCUAUCUCGCCUGUAAUUACAGCUCUCUUGGCCUGUCGGGACAGGAGGCGAGGGAGGAGAUGAAAGGUCUGCCCUUCACUCUUCCCCAGGCCAGGCAGAGCACACUCACACCAGCCUGCUCUGCCCUGGCACCGUCCUGCCUGCUGGGCUGGGGGCGGGUAGCCCCUGCCCUCCUCACUGCACUGGCAAUGAAGGAAGGCGCUGUCCAUCCAGAGAAUGGGCUUAUUGUGAGGGAAGGGGUGUCCCAGAGGGGAGCCAAGCUGCUGCCUCCUCAGGCCUCCGUGCCCAGACACAGAAACAAAAACAACUGCCCAAGAUCUCAAAGACGUGAAGAGGCCCAGCCAGGACGAGAACCCAGAUCUUCUAAGUAUCCUAUCGUCUCCUCAGGAAGAGAAGCCUCCUCCAAGACUCCUUCUUGCAAUAGGAGGAGUGUUUCCCUAGUCAACAGAGAACCAGAAACUUCCCCUCUGGUGCGUGCCGGGGAGAGAGGCCGUGGAGGGGACUCGCUGAGCUUCCCUGGGCAGUGGGGGCUGCUGUGUAACAGCUGGCUGUCUGCGGGGUUGGGAGAACACGUCUCUGUUUUGUAGUGUUUGCCAUCUUCUAGGGUAUAAAUGGUCCCGCCAUGGCUGAUUUCAAGCUACCGGCAUGAUGUCACUGACUGCAGAGUUGGGAAGAGGUGAACACGGUUAGCCCUCACGAGAUUGCACAACUGGCUCCAGCACACCACUGGCCGAGGGAGACCUGAACCUUGCUCUGGAAGCCCAUUGGCACACGCGCAUGCGCGCAGACACGUACAGGAGGCUGCACGCGCGCGCUGCAGACACGGGAGCCAGCCGUCGGCCUGAUGGA